GCGCGCGUGCGCGGCGAGUUCAGCCGGCGUGAAUGUGGAAGCCGGGGGUCUAGCCUGGCCUAGGCGAGCCGGCCGGCGACGUCUCAGUACUCUAAGCGCACGCGGUGCGGUUUUUUAAAAAAGCAGUGUUCCCCCCCGAGCUCUUCACGUGCUUGGAGCUCUGUGUUUCGGGUCUCGCGCCGACCGACCCCAGCGUUCUGGUCCCCCGCGCGGGGUCUCAGACUCACUUUUGCAGCCGAGGAUGGCCUUGAGGUUCUGUUUGUACUGCUUCUGCCUCCCCAGCGCAGGUAUCACAAGCCUGCCUUUUUCCGUGGGUUCUCGGCAUCAAAUUCAGCUACUCAUAGCUAGCUGGUAAGCCAUGCCUGUACCAACUGAACUAUCACCCCAGACAGAUCUCGAAUCAUGUUUCUUUUUUCAAAAUUCAUUUUUUACAAGUUCUGCAAUGGAUGAUAUCCAGACUGUAGCAUGCCUGAGAAGUCGCUUAGUGGUUAAAAGCACUCGUUGCUCUUGAAGACUACCUGGGUUCGAUUCUCAGCACCCACAUUGCAGCUCACAACCCUCUGUAACUAGUUCCAGGGGCUCCGAGGAUGGCCUCUUCAGGCACCAGGCAGGCAAGUGGUAUGCAGACACACAUUAAAUAAUUACAUAAAGAAUGUAGGAGUUGGUGUCACGCCUUUAAUCCCAGCAGGGAGGCAGAGGCAGGCAGUCUCUGAGUUCUGAGUUCAAGGCCAGCCUGGUCUACAGAGUGAGGUCCAGGACAGCCAGGGCUACACAGAGAAACCCUGUCUUGAAAAUCCAUUUUAAAAAAAAUGUAGGGAAAGUUUGUUCCUAGCUUCUGCAUGAGAACAUGGUCUACUCAAGUUCCUGUAGAAAGGGCUCUGGGACUUUGGAGAGAGCUCUCUGGGCCCUAGAGGUUUAGUCUGAGCAUGUACACCAUGCUGGUGUUUCAGGACAGCCUGUAGGCACUCAGCCUCAGGAGGCCUUGUCUAUAGUUACUACACUGUCCAGAUCCUUGCCAGUUUUGUAGCAAGUGUUUUUGGAGUCCGAGGGAUUGGGAUUCUGCAUGCAAACUGCCUUUUCUUUUUUUCUUUACCCUGGCUGGCCCAGAACUCACUAUGCGCUUACCGGUGACCUGAGCGCACACCCCUUCAGUAGAUAGGGUUAACAAAGCACAUUUUAUAAAUAAGGAACUUGGGAGUGUCUUAAGAGUAAGAGAGCCCUGUACCAUGGUUACAUAUCUCGGUGAUGGCACAGCCAAGUACAACUGCCUGAAUCCAUCUGAGUCCCUGUGGCCCUUUCCAGACCUCAUCUGUAGUACAGUGCACUCCUCUAGUUCCUACAGAAGUCCAGACAGGAGCGAGCCGGGAGGGCAGGGCUUCAGUGCUGUCCAUUUUUAAAAUGCACCUCAACCAUACCCUAUGCUCUGGUAGGGGUCCCUCAGACCUAGGGGAAAGAAAAACAUGACUGCCAUGUAGGCUACACAAUGGCCUUGAAGAUGAUGAAUCAGCUUGUAUCAUCUGCAGCUCCUUCCUUCCUUGGUAGGCCUUCCCAGAGACCCCGAAAGAAUGGACUGCCAUGCGUUUCAGUCUUUGCUAAAUCAUUUAUGAGCACUCGCUACAUUCCUCCAAGCCACCUUCCGGGCACACUGGCAACGUCGUUAGAACCCAUCUUAAUGGGUAAAGAUAACCAGCACAGUUACAGGAGACAAGCGAAAGGCCACACCAGAGUCCCAGAGACCGGUGUAAUUAAAAGCUCUCUUUCUGAGGACGCCAGCCUGGGUGACUGGCUCCUUGGAACUUAACCAGUGCGGCACUCGGCCAAGGCACUUCCGCCACUCCUAGUCUGUAAGCUAUGAACGAGUAGAACUCUUCCAUCUUCCCAGUGCCUGAGAAAUAAAACUGACACAACCUGA